rnacentral:rRNA from 1 species
GAUGAACGCUGGCGGCGUGCCUAAUACAUGCAAGUCGAGCGAAGCGGGGACGGGUGAGUAACACGUGGAUAACCUCCUAUAAGACUGGGAUAACUUUAGGAAACCGGCUCUAAACCGGCAACUUAUAGAAGGAUCCGCGCUGCAGUAGCUAGUUGAUAAGGUAACGGCUUACCAAGCCAACGAUGCAUAGCCGACCUGAGAGGGUGAUCAGCCAGACUGGAACGGAGACACGGUCCAGACUCCUACGGGAGGCAGCAGUAGGGAAUCUUCCGCAAUGGGCGAAAGCCUGACGGAGCCACGCCGCGUGUCUGAUGAAGGUCUUCGGAUCGUAAAACUCUGUUAUUAGGGAGGCGGUACCUAAUCAAAAAGCCACGGCUAACUUCGUGCCAGCAGCCGCGGUAAUAC